rnacentral:tRNA from 1 species
GUGCCUGUAGUUCAAUGGUAGAACGCCAGCCUGUGGCGCUGGUCACGUGGGUCCGAUUCCCAUCAGGCACCCCA